GCCGCGGUAUAGCUCAACUGGUAGAGCAUCGCACGCGUAAUGCGAAGGAUGUGGGAUCGUUCCCCACCUGCGGCA